GGUGAGGAAAUAUUGGGCGGGCAAGGAGGCAUGGUUGAGGCAUAGGAAUCCUGAAUUAAUAGUGGUGAUUCGAGCUCAGCCAUGUGCUUCUUGUCAGUUAAAAAACCACUUCAACUUUAAGGGACAUGGGCAGCUAUGAGGAGGGUUUAUUUUCUUUAACUGUUUUCCAGAACCACUUGGUUAGACCAACAGAAGUGGAGUAACUGCCAGAUCACAGACGAACCAGGGGCUGGACCUGUUUGUUUUUUAUUCCUGUUUUCUUUAUGGGGGUGUUUUGUUAACAAUACCACUGAAAAUAUCAAAGGUCCAAGUGUCCUUGACUGAGGGGUUCAAGCUGAGUCUUCCAUUUUAUCUCUAUGGUUCAGUGUCGUGUUGGUAUAAAGGAAAUGAAAAUUCUCCAACUGUUUCCCGGACCAGUCAAGUCAGUAACUGCAAGAUCUCAUGCUUGCUUUGUACAGUGGAAUGAAGUGACCAAUAAAUGUAUUUGGAUUUACCUGCCAAUAAUUCUGUAUUUUUGUUCCUUUCUAUGUAGGAUUCAAUGACUGGUAUUGUGUGCUAAAUUUUGUAAGGGAAAAAAGACCAAACAUACAUUUAUUCUGUGUACAAUGUGUUUUUCCUGUAUUUUGUAGUUAUACUUAAUGCAGUUCUCCUUUCCGCCACUUGGCGAGUCUUCGUAGACCAGUCAAAGCAGGUAGCGAAUGGAGCAGUCUGUUCCAUUGUGGUGAGACAAACCCAUUAACCAAGUGUAGCUAUUACAAUCACCUUUUGUUUUGGCUAUGUUUCUCAAGUGUUAUAAUUAAUUUAUUGAAAGCAUCAAAUGUUAUUUUUGUCCAUACUGAUUUUGGUGGUAUGCUUGAUUUUUUUUUUCACAUUUUGUCAGCAGGUGGUUAGCUUUGGUGUUACUCUAUGUAUGUGUGUGUGUGUGGGGGGGCGGCGGCAUCUUUACAUGUUGACCAUGUAAAGAUCUCCAUCACUCCCUCUGUCUCUCAGUGUGGGAAUGUUCUUUGAGUCAAUAUGGUUACCUCAGGUUUUUGUGGUGCUGUCCAUUUUAAAACUGCAAUUAGUGUUAAAAAAAAAGGCCUCUGGUCUCAACCAUAGGUUCCAUCUUAACAAAAGCACUCCAGAGUUCUAAUCAUGUUCUGACUCAAGACUUUCAGUCCUCCAACCACAACCGGUUUUAUGAAUAUUUACUCUCACCAGGCCUCUAAUAAAUAAUUAUUGUGUGCAAGUACAGUUGAAGUCGGAAGUUUACAUACACUUUAGCUAACUACAUUUAAACGCAGUUUUUCACAAUUCUUGACAUUUAAUCCAAGUAAAAAUUCCUUGUCUUAGGUCAGUUAGGAUCACCACUUUAUUUUAAUGUGAAAUGUCAGAAUAAUAGUAGAGUGAUUUAUUCAGAUUUGUUUUCUUUCAUCACAUUCCCAGUGGGUCAGAGGUUUACAUACACUCAAUUAGUAUUUGGUAGCAUUGCCUUUAAAUCUAACUUGGGUCAAAUGUUUCUGGUUGCCUUCCACAAGCUUCCCACAAUAAGUUGGGUGAAUUUUGGCCCAUUCCUCCUGACAGAGCUGGUGUAACACUGAGUCAGGUUUGCAGGCCUCCUUGCUCACACACUUUUUCAGUUCUGCCCACAAAUUUUCUAUAGGCCUGAGGUCAGGGCUUUGUGAUGGCCACUCCAAUACCUUGACUUAUUUGUCCUUAAGCCAUUUUGCCACAACUUUGGAAGUAUGCUUGGGGUCAUUGUCCGUUUUGAAGACCCAUUUGCGACCAAGCUUUAACUUCCUGACUGUCUUGAGACGUUGCUUCAAUAUUUUCAGUUUUCCCUCAUGAUGCCAUCUAUUUUGUGAAGUGCACCAGUCCUUCCUGCACCAAAGCAACUCACAACAUGAUGCUGCCACUCCCGUGCUUCACGUUUGGGAUGGUGUUCUUUGGCUUGCAAGCCUCCCCCUUUUUCCUCCAAACAUAAUGGUCAUUAUAGCCAAACAGUUCUCUUUUUUUUUUUUUUUUUUUUUUGUUUCAUCAGACCAAAGGACAUUUCUCCAGUUUCUCCCCAUGUGCAGUUGUAAACCGUAGUCUGGCUUUUUUAUGGCGGUUUUGGAGCAGUGGCUUCAUCCUUGCUGAGCGGUUUUGCAAUAGCAUUGCUCAACCAUAUGUCAUAACAUGAUGCCAUAUGCUGGUUAAAUGUUUUGUCAGUCCCCCUUAACUACAGGCUUAUUGAACUUCUAUUUCAGUCUAUGCUGAUAGAUGGUGACUCAUUUACUAAUCUCAUUUAACCCAAAACUAAAAUCUUGCAUAAAUGGUACCGUAGUUCUGACCAAAUGAUGUUUAUAUAGUAGAUGUCUGUUCAUGAGAUGACUAACUUCAGCCCUACAGCCACUCAUGUGUCUUUUGGGUAUAAAAGGCACACUGGAUACUUGUUUGUAAGAUCUUUUUAUUGGUAUUAAAGCAAUGUACAUUUAACAAAAACAUCAAUGCAACAAGAGUUGGUCCCAUAUUUCAUGAGCUGAAAUACAAGAUCCCAUAAAUUGUCCAUAC
ensembl:lncRNA